ACGUAGGGGGCUAGCGUUGUUCGGAAUUACUGGGCGUAAAGCGCGUGUAGGCGGCCCCGCAAGUCGGAAGUGAAAGCCCUCGGCUCAACCGGGGAACUGCUUUCGAAACUGCGGGACUUGAGUGUGGGAGGGGAGAGCGGAAUUCCCGGUGUAGCGGUGAAAUGCGUAGAUAUCGGGAAGAGCAGCGGUGGCGAAGGCAGCACACUGGACCACUACUGACGCUGAGACGCGAAAGCGUGGUUAGCAUGCCG
rnacentral:rRNA from 1 species